CAAGCGGACCGGACGGUCGCUCUUGCCGCGUGGACGGUCGCCUUCGGCGACGCAGCGCGCGGCCGGGAGAGGAAAGUCCGAACUCCAUAGAGCGGUGUGCCGGAUAACAUCCGGGAGGUCCGCCUUCAAGGGCGGAUCGACGGAAAGUGCCACAGAAAACAUACCGCCCCGAUUCGUCGGGGUAAGGGUGAAAAGGUGCGGUAAGAGCGCACCGCCUGGGCAGCAAUGUCCAGGGCAAGGCAAACCCCACACGGAGCAAGACCAAAUAGGGAAGGAGCCCCGAAAGGUCGGGGCACGGGCCGGCUCGGCGCGUGCAACUUCCGGGUAGGUCGCUUGAGCCCCGCCGCGAGGUGUGGCCUAGAGGAAUGACCGUCCUCCGGCUUCGGCCGGGGACAGAAUUCGGCUUACAGGUCCGGUUGUCAU
rnacentral:RNase_P_RNA from 1 species